rnacentral:RNase_P_RNA from 1 species
AGGACCACCGCUUAGCUAACGGUUCCUCCCGAAAGGGAGUCUGAACUGAGGAAAGUCCACCCUCCCCUUGCCUCUGGCAAGGCGAAAGCUGCUCACGGCAGUGAGGCGCAGUAAUGUUCGGCAACCGCACAGAAACGAGACCCCUCACCGCGAGGAUGAAUGCUGUGAAGGCGUUGGCGACAACGCUGAGGUAACCAGCAGACGUUGCGGUGAGAAUGGAUGAAACGGCGAGCCCCGGCUGGAGCAAGUCUCAACGACGCUUAGUUCAAUGCUAAGGCGGAUGCAGCAAUCAUCCGACAAAAGGUGGCUUAUGGUGGUCCU